CGGCACGCCUAACACAUGCAAGUCGAACGAAGUGCAAUACUUAGUGGCAGACGGGUGAGUAACAUGUGGGUAUCUACCCUUUGGCCUGGAAUAACACGAGGAAACUUGUGCUAAUACCGGAUAAGUCUUUACGGAGAAAGCUUUAUGCACCAUUGGAUGAGCCCGCACUUGAUUAGUUUGUUGGUAGGGUAAUGGCCUACCAAGACUAUGAUCAAUAGCUGAUUUGAGAGGAUGAUCAGCCACAUUGGGACUGAGACACGGCCCAAACUCCUACGGGAGGCAGCAGUGGGGAAUCUUGCACAAUGGAGGAAACUCUGAUGCAGCGAUGCCGCGUGAGUGAAGAAGGCCCUUGGGUUGUAAAGCUCUUUCGUCGGGGAAGAAAAUGACUGUACCCGAAUAAGAAGGU
rnacentral:rRNA from 1 species